rnacentral:rRNA from 1 species
CAGAAGAUGGAACCCUUCAGUUCGGCUGGAUCGGAGACAGGUGCUGCAUGGCUGUCGUCAGCUCGUGUCGUGAGAUGUUGGGUUAAGUCCCGCAACGAGCGCAACCCUCGCCCUUAGUUGCCAUCAUUUAGUUGGGCACUCUAAGGGGACUGCCGGUGAUAAGCCGCGAGGAAGGUGGGGAUGACGUCAAGUCCUCAUGGCCCUUACGGGCUGGGCUACACACGUGCUACAAUGGCGGUGACAAUGGGAUGCAAAGGAGCAAUCCUUAGCAAAUCUCAAAAAGCCGUCUCAGUUCGGAUUGGGGUCUGCAACUCGACCCCAUGAAGUUGGAAUCGCUAGUAAUCGCAGAUCAGCACGCUGCGGUGAAUACGUUCCCGGGCCUUGUACACACCGCCCGUCACACCAUGGGAGUUGGCUUUACCUGAAGACGGUGCGCUAACCGCAAGGAGGCAGCCGGCCACGGUAGGGUCAGCGACUGGGGUGAAGUCGUAACAAGGUAGCCGUAA